UACGUAGGGUGCAAGCGUUAAUCGGAAUUACUGGGCGUAAAGCGUGCGCAGGCGGUUAUGUAAGACAGGUGUGAAAUCCCCGGGCUUAACCUGGGAACUGCAUUUGUGACUGCAUAGCUAGAGUACGGUAGAGGGGGAUGGAAUUCCGCGUGUAGCAGUGAAAUGCGUAGAUAUCCGGAAGAACACCUGAGGCGAAGGCGGCUUGCUGGGCCUGAUCUGACGCUGAGGCGCGAAAGCGUGGGGAGCAAACAGG
rnacentral:rRNA from 1 species